GACGAACGCUGGCGGCGUGCUUAACACAUGCAAGUCGAACGGAAAGGCCUCUUUCGGGGGGUACUCGAGUGGCGAACGGGUGAGUAACACGUGAGUAACCUGCCCUUGACUUUGGGAUAACUUCAGGAAACUGGGGCUAAUACCGGAUAGGAGCUCCUGCUGCAUGGUGGGGGUUGGAAAGUUUCGGCGGUUGGGGAUGGACUCGCGGCUUAUCAGCUUGUUGGUGGGGUAGUGGCUUACCAAGGCUUUGACGGGUAGCCGGCCCGAGAGGGUGACCGGCCACAAUGGGACCGAGAUACGGCCCAGACUCCUACGGGAGGCAGCAGGGGGGAAUAUUGCACAAUGGGUGGGAGCCUGAUGCAGCAACGCCGUGUGCGGGAUGACGGCCUUCGGGUUGUAAACCGCUUUCGCUCAUGACGAAGCUUUGUGUGACGGUAGUGGGUAAAGAAGCACCGGCUAACUACGUG
rnacentral:rRNA from 1 species